AACAACAACAAAAACAGAAUAUGGAGAUAGAGAAUGAUCAAGUGGGAGGGAAUUGUUUUGGAUAGGACUUUCAGAUCAAGUAAGGUCAGAUCAGCCUCUCAUCAGAAGACACUUGUAGCAGAGUACUUACUAAGGAAGUGAAGGAGCUCUGAGUUUGUCAUAUGAAUAUUGGGAAAAAGAAUGUUCCAGGCAGUGGAAACAGCAUGAGCAAAGGCCCUGAGGCAAUAGCAUACUUAGUGUGUUCCACUAAGGAGGGCAAUGUUGUGUCUGGAGUGGAGUCAACAAGGAAGAGAUUAAGCUAGAGGCUGAGGUCAGAGAGAAGGGUGAGGUGGCCAGAUCAUAUGAGGCCUUGUAAAUCAAGAUAAGGACUUUCUUUGGCUUUUGAGUAAAAUGGGAAACCAUAGAGAUUUUUGAGCAGAGGAGUGACAUCAUCUGACUUCAAAGGAGUUUUUAUAGUGUGAUGUGGGCUUUUCUAGGCUCAGGCAAGAGGUGGACAGGGUGAACGGGGAAUAGAUCUUGCAGAGCUGAGCAUUCCAACAUGGAGGCCUCUAGCCAUAAGUGGCUACUUAAAUGUAAAUUCAUUAAAAUUUUAAAAAUUAAAAAUUCAUUUUCUCAGUUGCACUAGUCACAUUUCAAAUUCACAGUAGCCACAUGUAGCGAGUGGCUACAGUAUUGGACAGUGAGAUGUAGAUCAUUUCCAUUGCCACAAAAAGUUGUGUUGGACAGUGCUGGUAGGGUAUUAAAGGUCUUUGUAGGGAGUUCAGCUUUUACUCUGAGUAAACAGAAAGCCGUUGGAGGGUUUUAAGCAGAGGAGGAACAUGCUCUGACUUAUGAUUUCAAAAGAUCACUUUUGAGAAUAGACUGUAACGGGACAAUGGUGAAAGCUGAGAGACCAUUAAUAGUCUAGAUGACAGAUGACCAUGUCUUUGAUGAGGGGGUAGGAGUGAUGAUGAUGAGAAAUUAUUGGAUUUUGGAUAUAUUUUGAAGGCAGAACCAAUAGGCUUUUCUGAUUAAAAUGAUGCGAUAUGAGAAAACAGUGACAAAAAGUUUGUGGGUGAUGAUGAGAGAAGAGAAUGUAAGGCAAAAGAGAAGGGAUUUCUCCUUGUGGAGGAGGAGUCUCAUUCACCUUGAAGCAGGAGUGAAAGCAGGGAUUUGGGUGUAAAAAGAUUUAGAGAGUCCUCAUCUAAGCAGAAGAUGAAGGAGUAAAGAGAGAGAGAUGGCUGUAUUGGAAGUUUGAAGGUGAUGGAGAAAGUUUCAAAUAAUUGUUGGAAAAUGAGUUGUAAAAAGAAACAUAACACAGUUGUUACAGCAGGGCAUGGUUGCUUGUGCCUACAGUCCCAGCUACUUGGAUCCUGAGGCAGGAGGAAUUCUUGAGCCCAGGAGUUGGAGGCUGCAGUGAGUUGUGUUUAUGCCACUGCACUCCAGCCUAGGUGACAGAGCAAGACUCCAUUUCUUAAAAAUAAAACAAAAAUGCAGUUGUUAGUAUUGAGGGCCCAUAAGAAGUUGGUGACCAUGAACCUAUCUAUGCUUUUGAUCACCUCCAGCAGAGUGUGACAGUUGUGUGCAAGCAAAGAGAAAGGAGAUGGCAGGGUUCAACGAGGGCUGUUGUUUUCCUAGAUACGUUUGUAGAAAAAACAGAGAAGAAGGGAGUUUAAGGGACUGGUAAAAAGAAUAUUGUAAUAACAGACCAUGGACUAGAAAUUGAAUAAGAAGGAAAGUGAAAACAGCUGAAGGCUAAUGAAUUGGGAGAAAGCAGAGGGAUCAGUAGACUGGAGGCCCCAAUAUUUCUAAGAGCAGUUGGAGUUGUUGUCAUGCAAGUUGGAAGGAAAGAUGCUUAUCCAAAAGCUGAAUGCCUGAAUCAGUAAUCUUGCCGACAGAGCUAUUGUAGGUGAUGACAAAGUCAGUCCUUUGAAGUCUAUGCAUAUAUAUCUUCAUUAUAGGCUGACUUGCCAAGUCUUAGAAUUUUAUACAAUAUAACCUCACUGUGGAUCUCAUCUAAGCAGGUUUGGUAACCAAAAGCUCAAGAGUGUGAGAUUGGGAGCCCAGAGAGCUACCCUACAGCUCAUAGCCUGUCACAAACCAGCCGUGUAGCCAUGGACCUUGAGGAAAGGAACCUUAUGGUCCCUUCUAUCUCUAAUCUGUGACUCUGUAGCCCCAUUAUAAUAUAGCCUUUUCCCAAACACUGACCUUCAACAUAGACCCUGGGGGAUUUUUCUAUUAAAAAUUUGCAACUCUGCACAUUUUUAUCUGCUGAUGCCUCUUGGAAUAUUAAAUGCUUAGAAAGCUGCCCUGGGGAUCACUUUCUGGAAUCUUGACCACGUAGUCAUCUGAGUGGGUGUGACAGGAAUUAUACACCAGCAGCAUUUGUAUCUGAGUGUCCUUCAGGCACUGGGAUGGCUGCACCUUUACCAAUCCUCUCCAACUCUCUCCACCUAGAAAACAUUCUUUUCUCUUAAUUUUGUUAGAGCUAUAUAGGAAUGCUCCUUCAGCCGAAAUGACAGAGGCUGUUGCUCUCAGAAUCAAAUGCAAUAAUGUGACCUGUAAAUUCCUAUGAAUAUUUUGAUAUUUUAGGGAUAUUUGUUUAUUCAGAAGAGAUUCCAGACGCAGAACUCUCUUCCUCUCUGUUCCCUAACCCUGCUUUUCGCCAUUGUUCUUCUCUCUCGGGCACAGAGAGAAUUAAGAACAAUCUAAGGUACACUUUUAACAAGAUGGUCUAGCUUGAGCUCUGUAGGCUUGAAUGAUUAAAUAAGUAGUAGUUUUUUGCUAAAAUAACCACAUUGUUUGCAAAAGUUUUCUCCUUUGAGUUUUCUAGGGUUAUUACAGUGAUCUAACUGCCUUACCUGCUUUUGAACUGGUUGAGCCUCUUGUGGGACAGAAAACAAAAGGGUGUUGAAAUGCAAAUAGAUAACUCUGGGUCCCAGUCCCUGACUGCAAAAGGAAGCCAAAACUGACAACAACGUUUCCUUCUCUACGGAGGUUUGUAGAAAAGCUGUACAAAAAUCUCACAAGAUGUAUUUCUUCUCAUGGACUGGAGUCCCAAGGUAGGUAAGAAAAACAAAAACAAGAUAAAAACAAACAAAGGAUUCCGUACUUGGAAUUUGCUCAGUACCAGUUGAAUAGCUAAUUGUUUCUUGUGUUCUUCCCCUCCCCCCUUUUUUUCUGCCUGAAUAGAUAAUCCUUACAAAACAUCUAUUCAUUCUACAAGUGAAAAUUUCAAGAAUAUUCGAUACUGACCUUGGCAAGAGUAAUGGACCGAGAUUGAGUGAUGAAUUUGUGUGUGUUGUGGCUGAUGUGCAUUUUGGUGCUUUGUAUGCAAGUUGAAGAAUAUCUUAGCAAUAGGAAAAGAAGAUUUAUGACAUUUUAAUUAAUGAAUAUAAUGAAGGCUAAAACUUGUAGAUAAAUUUAUAAGGUACACAAUUAUUUUUAUUGCUUAUUUUUUUUUUUUUAGCACAAAGGUGAUUGCAUUUUGUUGCUUUAAGAAAGGACCUCUUGAUAAUACUGGCUUGCUUUUAUAUUUCAAUAUGACCAGUUUAAUUGAUAUGCAAACAAUUAUUUUUUAAGGGAAAUAAAAUGAGGCAGUAGUACAACUUAGCGAAGAGGACACUGUGUCAGAUUCUUAAUUACUAGAUUAAAUUUGAGCUCUUAUUUGGUCUUUACUACCAACUGACUGCAUAACUUUGGGUAAGUUAUUUGGCUCUUUUUUUUUUAAUUUACAAAAUUAGAAUGAAAACUAUGGAUAGUGAAAAUAUUUGGAAAAGCUUUUUGAAAUCCCACGUGAAAGGCAUCAGAAAAAAAAGGUUGGGUGAUUUUUUUUUUAAAAUGGGAAAUAAUCUGAUAUUGUCAGUAAACCUAAAUUUUUUGUAUAUUAAUUUAUUUUUUAAGCUGUUAUUUAAUUUCAGGUGCUUAAGAGUGCUUCAAUUUGUUAAUGGAAAGAAACACCAUUUACACCGGAUGGCUACAAAGCAACCUUAUUCUGGAUAGCUUGUCAGUGCCCGCUCGGGUUUUUGAAUUCUGACUUCUUGCUGACCAUGAUUUGGCUGUCUCAUUAAUAAGGGUCAAACAUUUUGCAUCCAGGAAAAGUACUGCAGAAAAUCACACUGUGGGCAGCUAUCUGUUCUUUAGAACUAUACUGGAAGAAACCAAUUCACCUCAAAUACCAAGGAAAUGGGUGUGAUGUAGGAGGCAGAAGAGUAGCCUUUUCCGUGCUGCCGGCAGAAUGGAGACAGACCUGGGCUUGCACCCACCACCCGGACCCAGGAGUGGAUGGUUCAACGUGUGCUGUAAGGCUAAAGAAGGUUGGCCAGGCAUGGUGGCUCAUGCAUGUAAUCCCAACACUUUGGGAAGCCAACGCGGGUGGACCGCUCGAGUGCAGGAGUUUGA